UACGUAGGGUGCGAGCGUUAAUCGGAAUUACUGGGCGUAAAGCGUGCGCAGGCGGUUUUGUAAGCCAGAUGUGAAAUCCCCGGGCUCAACCUGGGAAUGGCAUUUGGGACUGCAAGGCUGGAGUGCGGCAGAGGAGACUGGAAUUCCUGGUGUAGCAGUGAAAUGCGUAGAUAUCUGGAGGAAUACCGGUGGCGAAGGCGGCAUCCUGGACCGACAUUGACGCUGAGGAGCGAAAGCGUGGGGAGCGAACCGG
rnacentral:rRNA from 1 species